CCCACUCAGGAUCCCGUUCUCCAGCAGCUUCAUGAAGUCCAGUUUGAUCUGAAAAGGACAUUAUGAACAAUAAUUCAGAAUGAACAGGGGGCAGUAGCUCACCUCAGGAAUGUCCACCAUCCUCCGCAGUUUCUGGUCCCUCCAGUUCCAGUCAAGAACCACGUAUCUUAAGGCCUGCAGGUUCAAACCAUCUGGAGGAAAAAACAAAGAGUUUACAUUGAAAGAAAAAAGACCUCAAACACUUAAACUGCAGGAUCAGAACAUUCACACCGACCUUUCUCAACUAAGGCGCUGAUCCUUCCAGGGGUCCCUACUCCAAUGUGUGUGACUCCCUUCUGCAGCAGCUUCAUCUGCUCCUCCACCUGAACAGAAAACAAAAGAAGAACUGUUUGAACUCAUCACUGUACACAGUUUUCAUGCAUUUUAAAAAGGCACUGGGAUCUCUACUAACCUUGAUGUGUUUCGCAAAAAGCUUUAGUGCCUUGGCUUCGCCCUUGAAGGUUGUCAGCUGCCUGGAGAUGAUAAGAGACAAAACGCACUCGUAUAAACAGGACUACAAAGUUGUAUUGUGGGAAAAAUCGACACACGCCACCUCUGUGUUUCACCUACUUGAUGAGCUCGAUGGUUCGCAGAGCAGAGCUGCAAACGAUGAGCAGAACCACAGAGCUCUUCUCUGUGUGCUGUUUCUGAACCUUCGCCCACUUGGGACAAACUACAGGCAAAGAAAGGAAAGAAAAAAAGUGAUUAGUCUCGUUUAAAAGCAAGCGGCUGAAAUGAUUUUUCAGUGAGAGCAUCACUCACCUUGUUUGAGAUACGAGGACAGGCUGUGUGUCAAGUCAUUGCUGGACAGGAAGCAGGAGUCUGGAAGAUGAUGGAGGGCAGGACGGUGACCUCGGUGAAUCAACAGAUCAGCACAUAUUGACAAAGCUGAGAGAGGUAGAAAGAUGACUCACCGUGCAGUUUGAGCUCCUCCUGCUCGAUCACAGAGCGUUUGUCGGAGAAAUACUGCGUGAUCAGGUUCUGCAGGUCUGCGGGGCAGCCUGGCUUUGGCUCCGAAGUGGACAAGACAUCUGUAAUUGUCUUCUUCUGGUAAAUAAAACACAAUCAGGUAAAAGUUAGAUUUUUACAAAUAAAGCCCAGUGACUGUAGUUCCUCUUUUACACCAGCAGGUGUCCCCACACUCACCUUCCGCUUUCUUUUGACUUUGGGUGCCUUUUCAUCCUCGGGCUCUUUCUUCUGAGGGACAAUUAACUCUUUCUGUGAAAAACAAGAAACAAAAAAUACACCAAUCAGGCUCAUCAUCAACAUCUAAUACACAUGAACCGUUUGAGUGAAUGAAGAAUGCAACUGAGUUAUAAGUAGAGUUCAUUAUUUCAUAAAUACAACACUCAAAUCUUAGAGAACAUUUACAUUUCUUUACUUUUUUUUAAUGCCUUCACCAUCAGAUCGACCAGAAACAAACUGCCAGAAGAGAUUAAUUUAACUAUCAAUCAGAAGAUACGUUCCCAAUAUUUAUAAUCAAUGUUUUUAUUUUAUGAUAAAUAGUUAAUGUUUCUGGUUCAGGCAUUCUAUAUGGGAUUAUUUUCUGGUUACUUUCCUCCUCUAUGUGGACUUAAUAUAUUGUGGAAAAAAAUAUGAUGUUUAAGGUCAUUUCAUCGUGGGCUGAGAAACACAGAUCAACAUUAUCGUCAUUUUCCGAUCAUUUAUGGAACAAAAAAAAACGAACCCAAGAAAGUAACGUUUGGAUUAAUCAACAGUAUAAAUCGUUUAUUUCUACUUUGGCCUAUUUUAUGAUUUCAAAUUCACAGAUCAGAAGGUGAAGUCCGCAGAUGACAAAAGUAGAGACUUGAAAUGAAUGGAAACAGAACUAAAAUGAAGGAUUUACAAUGAGCCGUCUCCAUCAGCUCAGAGGUGCUACUUGUCAACAUAAAAUGCAGGUAAACUGUUUGGGGCCCCAGGCCAGUAGGGGGCCAACAAUAGCUAACAAACUUAAAUCCAUAGCAGUAGUUCAAAAUGUGUAAAGUUUGCAAUCAUAGUAGGAAACCUCCCUAAAGGGGAGACUCACUCUUCUUAAAACAAAGUUAGUCAACGCUUCAUAGUGUGAGUGUAGACUCCUAAAAAAAAAGAGUGCUUUGCUCAAGGGCACCUUCAGCAGUGCUCAUGAUGUGAACUGGCACUUCUCCAGCUACCAGACCAACUUCCAGAUUUGGUCCGCAUCAGUACUUGAACCCUUUGAUUCCCAACCCAAGUCCCUACAGACCAAAACUGCUUGAUUUGACAAUUUCACUUCUAACGGACAUGAUGACAGGCAGAUUUGGGGCAAUUCAUUUGCAUACAUUCGCUGACAUCUCUUUAAACUAAAAGUAAAAACACUUUCAGAACAGUUGUCUAAUCAAGUCGAGCAUAAAAAAAACCUUCUGAUUGACAGCUUUUACAUCUGAAGGGCUCAACAUAAUACCUGUUCAUUCUUUUUCUUCUUCUUUGCCUUGACUGUUUUUUCUGUUCCUGUAUUCUUCCUCUUCUGUGGUUUGGUCUUUACGUCUGUGUUUUCUGACGGUUGUUCUUCAUGUUUCUCCUCCUCCCGUUCAGAUGCAUCUGUAAAAAAAAAAAAAAAAAAAAA